rnacentral:rRNA from 1 species
UACGUAGGGACCGAGCGUUGUCCGGAAUCAUUGGGCGUAAAGAGCGUGUAGGCGGCCCCUUAAGUCCUGCGUGAAAUCCUGCGGCUCAACCGCAGACGGUCGUGGGAAACUGGAGGGCUAGAGGAUGGUAGAGGCGAGUGGAAUUCCCGGUGUAGCGGUGAAAUGCGCAGAUAUCGGGAGGAACACCAGUAGCGAAGGCGGCUCGCUGGGCCAUUCCUGACGCUGAGACUCGAAAGCGUGGGGAGCAAACAGGG